AUUCGUAGGGGGGGACUCGGAGGGAUCAUUA
rnacentral:rRNA from 1 species